rnacentral:rRNA from 1 species
UACGGAGGGUGCAAGCGUUAUCCGGAUUCACUGGGUUUAAAGGGCGCGUAGGCGGGCAGGUAAGUCCGUGGUGAAAUCUCUGAGCUUAACUCAGAAACUGCCAUGGAUACUAUUUGUCUUGAAUAUUGUGGAGGUAAGCGGAAUAUGUCAUGUAGCGGUGAAAUGCUUAGAUAUGACAUAGAACACCAAUUGCGAAGGCAGCUUACUACACAGUUAUUGACGCUGAGGCACGAAAGCGUGGGGAUCAAACAGG